rnacentral:rRNA from 1 species
GACGGAGGGGGCUAGCGUUGUUCGGAAUUACUGGGCGUAAAGCGCGCGUAGGCGGUUUUCUAAGUUGGGUGUGAAAGCCCGGGGCUUAACCCCGGAAAUGCGCCCAAGACUGGAAGACUGGAGUCCGGGAGAGGUGAGUGGAACUCCCAGUGUAGAGGUGAAAUUCGUAGAUAUUGGGAAGAACACCAGUGGCGAAGGCGGCUCACUGGACCGGUACUGACGCUGAGGCGCGAAAGCGUGGGGAGCAAACAGG